GAUACAUUCAGAAAGAGGGAGGCCGGCAAGCAGGAGCACCAUGCCUCUAUUUAUUGUUCCUGCUUCACCUUCCCAGCAGCAAAAGCAGAAAGAAGGGGUUCCUGGGGCCUGGGCUUUCUUUCCAGUGUCCCUUCCUUGGCCCGGACUGCUUCCCAGAUUUGAUGCCUCAGUCUCAGCAGCAAAACAUGAAGAGAAGGAUGGCAGGGGAUGAAGUAUCGCUGAGUGACUCAUGGAUGUGCCCAUCCUCAAUGAAGAUCAAUAAGUGCCACGAUGACACCUGCACUCCAGGCAAGUUGUGAAUUCCAGUGAGGAGGCAGUGGAGGCAGUGAAGGAGCCUGAAGCCAAAGGGAUCAUCUUCCCCAUGCCAGGACCCAGUUACUUAGGUAAGUUGCAAGGCCAGACAGUUUGCAUGAGACAAAGGUGGUUAUUGGGGCACUUUGUACUUCUCAGAGCAAUGUGCAUAGUACUAAUGAUGGCCAUGCUUUCAGUUCUGCAGCAGAACAGCAUACUGAGGGAGAACUAGAAGGUUUUGAGUCCCACACAUUGAUGUGUAGCCACACUGGUGGUAAGUCAACACUGUUAAUGCAAUGGCCUGCCUCCCUUCCAAGGAAAGCCAUUCCCUUGUACCACCUCCACCACACAAGAUUAUCUUUCCUCCCAAAAGCACCAGAAUCCCUGGAUAUUUGUAGAACCUUCACCUAUGUCGACUGAAUGUCAAAAAUGAGGAAAAAAUAACAGAAUUUUUGUAUGCUACUCUGUCUUGAAACUGGGUUUCAAUACAGUUCUUGAAAUAGGAGGUGUUAUAGCGACAAUGUGGCACUGCCAAAAUCUCUCAAAAUCUUUCACUUCUUUUCACUGUGUGUCACCACCAACACCAAUAUGUUACGGUGUGGUGACUCUCACCAGCUCCAACUACAUUUCUCUGAUGGUCGCACAAUGGGUCUUUUAGAUCCCACCGCGGCCACCAAUUAUGUGAUGAGACCCUCAAACUUGGAUCUGUCCUCAUAGUGUCUCCUGCACUGGAAACCAUGUCCUAUGAGGAAUGACUUAGGGAGCUGGGGAUGUUUAGCCUGGAGAGGAGAAGGUUAAGAGGUGAUAUGAUAGCUCUGUUUAAAUACUUGAAGGGAUGUCAU